rnacentral:rRNA from 1 species
AUUGAACGCUGGCGGCAUGCCUUACACAUGCAAGUCGAACGGCAGCACGGGAGCAAUCCUGGUGGCGAGUGGCGAACGGGUGAGUAAUGUAUCGGAACGUGCCCAGUCGUGGGGGAUAACGUAGCGAAAGCUACGCUAAUACCGCAUACGACCUGUGGAUGAAAGCGGGGGACCGUAAGGCCUCGCGCGAUCGGAGCGGCCGAUAUCAGAUGAGGUAGUUGGUGGGGUAAAGGCCUACCAAGCCGACGAUCUGUAGCUGGUCUGAGAGGACGACCAGCCACACUGGGACUGAGACACGGCCCAGACUCCUACGGGAGGCAGCAGUGGGGAAUUUUGGACAAUGGGCGCAAGCCUGAUCCAGCAAUGCCGCGUGCAGGAUGAAGGCCUUCGGGUUGUAAACUGCUUUUGUACGGAGCGAAAAGGCUCUCUCUAAUACAGGGGGCUCAUGACGGUACCGUAAGAAUAAGCACCGGCUAACUACGUGCCAGCCGCCGCCGUAA